CGAACGCUGGCGGCGUGCUUACCACAUGCAAGUCGCACGGAAAGGCCCUGCUUUUGUGGGGUGCUCGAGUGGCGAACGGGUGAGUAACACGUGAGUAACCUGCCCUUGACUUUGGGAUAACUUCAGGAAACUGGGGCUAAUACCGGAUAGGAGCUCCUGCUGCAUGGUGGGGGUUGGAAAGUUUCGGCGGUUGGGGAUGGACUCGCGGCUUAUCAGCUUGUUGGUGGGGUAGUGGCUUACCAAGGCUUUGACGGGUAGCCGGCCUGAGAGGGUGACCGGCCACAUUGGGACUGAGAUACGGCCCAGACUCCUACGGGAGGCAGCAGUGGGGAAUAUUGCACAAUGGGCGGAAGCCUGAUGCAGCAACGCCGCGUGCGGGAUGACGGCCUUCGGGUUGUAAACCGCUUUCGCCUGUGACGAAGCGUGAGUGACGGUAAGGGGUAAAGAAGCACCGGCUAACUACGUGC
rnacentral:rRNA from 1 species